CCUGCUGGAGGUCAGCCCUGACCUGUGGUGGGCGGGGCUUAGUUGGUCCAACUUCCUGGUCCCGCCCAGGAAGUCGUUAAGGGUACGGACCACAGGUGUGUCUCCUCUGGAGAAAUGUUUGGAGCAACAUUCACCUGCAUGUGGAUUCAGUCCUCAGCAGCUCAGAACCAGAACCAGGAAACCCGCAGAACUAAAGGGGCGACGGAGCGGAGAACUCGGAGUUGGCCCGGAGCCCGUCUGGAACCUGGAACGUGAUCCCGGAACUUCCUCCUCUCCCGUAUCUGCAUAG
rnacentral:lncRNA from 1 species